UACGCAGGGUGCGAGCGUUGUCCGGAAUUACUGGGCGUAAAGAGCUCGUAGGUGGUUUGUCGCGUUGUUCGUGAAAACCUGAGGCUUAACCUUGGGCGUGCGGGCGAUACGGGCAGACUGGAGUACUGCAGGGGAGACUGGAAUUCCUGGUGUAGCGGUGGAAUGCGCAGAUAUCAGGAGGAACACCGGUGGCGAAGGCGGGUCUCUGGGCAGUAACUGACGCUGAGGAGCGAAAGCGUGGGGAGCGAACAGG
rnacentral:rRNA from 1 species